AUGAAAAUGGCAAACAAAAUAAAUUAUUUAACUUAAGUCUGAAGUACAAUGUGUGAGCUGUCAUAAUUAAUAAUGAGUACGGUGAACACGGCAAACAGUAUAGGAUUUCAGUAUACUGGUGCUUACUGUAGUUAUGUAAUUUCCAAUGGCAUUUACAUUAAACGAUUCGAGUCACCUUACCGAGAUUUUCGAAACAUCUUAAGUAGUUGCAAUUAGAGUCAGUUAGUACAACAUCAUGGCUUCAAAAAUAACAAUAGCAGGGAUUCUCCUCCUAUGUAUUUGUUUUUUGCAAUUAGCGUUCGCUGGAGGACCCCAUAGCAGUGAUCUUUCCAAAGCGGCGGAUGGAACUACUGGGGAAAGACUUAAGACCGACAAGAGAGAACUCUCCCAUAAAGUUUUGAUGUCAGGAGCUGGUUGAAUGGAAUAAAUAAAUGAAAUCAUCAAACAUGCUAACAGUUAUAUUGUACUGAAUGAAGAAUUUAUGCAUGUUUUAUUAAUAAAGAAGAGGAACUGUCAAUCCUA